rnacentral:rRNA from 1 species
UACAGAGGGGGCAAGCGUUAUUCGGGAUUAUUGGGCGUAAAGGGCGCGUAGGCGGCUUUUCAAGUGACGGGUGAAAUCCCUCGGCUUAACCGAGGAACUGCCUGUCAGACUGGAAGGCUUGAGACCGGGAGAGGUGAGUGGAAUUCCCAGUGUAGCGGUGAAAUGCGUAGAUAUUGGGAGGAACACCAGUGGCGAAGGCGGCUCACUGGACCGGAACUGACGCUGAGGCGCGAAAGCGUGGGGAGCAAACAGG